CCUUGCCGAUCGAACCUCUUUCUAAUCGAAUCAAGGUUUGACGACCACCUCGUGAGCCAACAUUAAGGGGGAUGAUGGUUUAUGACCGGAUCUAAGAAUCUGAAUUUUAAAAAAAAAAACUAGAAGGGGAGGGAUGGAUCUUAUUGUGCCCUUCUUUUUCUUCAUUUCUUCUCGCCGAAUGGAUCUCUCUCCGACGGGAG
rnacentral:lncRNA from 1 species